CCGCCGGCGACCGGCGCACGGGUGAGUAACACGUAUGCAACCUGGCCGUGACAGAUGGAUAACCGGGAGAAAUCCCGCCUAAUACAACAUAAUGCCGGGAGGGGACAUCCCCUGCCGGCCAAAGGGGGCGACCCCGGUCACGGAUGGGCAUGCGGCGCAUUAGGUAGACGGCGGGGUAACGGCCCACCGUGCCGACGAUGCGUAGGGGUUCUGAGAGGAAGGCCCCCCACACUGGUACUGAGACACGGACCAGACUCCUACGGAAGGCAGCAG
rnacentral:rRNA from 1 species